GUCGCGGGCGCAGGAAAUUUGAGAGGAGCUGUCCUUAGUACGAGAGGACCGGGAUGGACGUACCGCUGGUGUACCAGUUGUCUCGCCAGAGGCACGGCUGGAUAGCCAAGUACGGCAGGGAUAAGCGCUGAAAGCAUCUAAGCGUGAAGCCCCCCUCAAGAUGAGAUUUCCCAGUAAGUAAGACCCCUUGUAGACGACGAGGUAGAUAGGUUCGGGGUGGAAGCGCGGCAACGUGUGGAGCUGACGAAUACUAAUCGGUCGAGGGCUUAUCCU
rnacentral:rRNA from 1 species